UGCAUGGGUACUUAAUUACCUGCUUGCUGCUUCUAUUCUACAAUGUUGCUUGAUGUUCCCUUCUUAUAUGUUCCCACAUGAGUCAUUAAAUUUUCCUUUAUUUCUUCCCAUCCAUUGCAUUUUUCAACUCGUCACUUGCAAUUUCAAAACUCUGAAGAAUUAUUAUUAUAUUUGGGUUUACAAAGAGGCGGAAGAGGAUUCAAAACAUCAAAUAUCAAGUUCAG
rnacentral:misc_RNA from 1 species